GACGAACGCUGGCGGCGUGCUUAACACAUGCAAGUCGAACGGAAAGGCCCUGCUUUUGUGGGGUGCUCGAGUGGCGAACGGGUGAGUAACACGUGAGUAACCUGCCCUUGACUUUGGGAUAACUUCAGGAAACUGGGGCUAAUACCGGAUAGGAGCUCCUGCUGCAUGGUGGGGGUUGGAAAGUUUCGGCGGUUGGGGAUGGACUCGCGGCUUAUCAGCUUGUUGGUGGGGUUGUGGCUUACCAAGGCUUUGACGGGUAGCCGGCCUGAGAGGGUGAACGGCCACAUUGGGACUGAGAGACGGCCCAGACGCCUACGGGAGGCAGCAGUGGGGAAUAUUGCACAAUGGGCGGAAGCCUGAUGCAGCAACGCCGCGUGCGGGAUGACGGCCUUCGGGGUGUAAACCGCUUUCGCCUGUGACGAAGCGUGAGUGACGGUAAUGGGUAAAGAAGCACCGGCUAACUACGUG
rnacentral:rRNA from 1 species